rnacentral:rRNA from 1 species
AUGGCAAUUACAGACAAAAAACAUGAAGGAUUGUCAAUCGGUAUAAUGGUUGGUCAUAAAACAUUUAUAUUUUUUAGCAGUAGAGUUAAUCCUUGUGGUGUCAUACUACACACACAUGUCCUUUUGAAAAUGAUGGUGCUUGUUUUUUCUUUUCUUGAAAAGGGUCGCAACCCCGUCCUCUGGAUCGAAAAUGUUAAGUCUAACUUUCGUGAGAAAUUUGACCCCGUCCUCUUGUGGUACCAUCUUAAUGGCAACUGCUUAAGGAGAAACAAAUUCUUGCUUCAGUUUCUUGUUGCCCCCGUCUUGAUCAAUAAUAAAAAGAUAUAG